ACGGGGCGGGGCCUCCCAAUUAAGGGGAUGAGGGUCAGGAAGGGAACCUGGGGUCAGCACACGUGGAGUUCUGGGUGGGGCGCUGGGCAGAGGGACUCGGCUUCUAGGGCUCUGAGCCAGGCCGAGGGACAGACUGCUGGGAAGUCCCCAAAAGGGCAGCAGCACUGAGGGGCAGGAUUCCAGGGUCCUGGAGGCGGAAGCUCGGCCGACUGACUCCCAGUUCGAGAGAACGGGGCGGGGGCAGCCCACCAGUGCUGGAACCCGAGGGGCCGGGCGAGGAACGCUGGACUGGGAGCAGGACCCUUCUCGCCUCGGACAAGACUCCUUGUCUGGGGACCCAGCCCGACUUCAUUGUAGCUGGGUCCUCGAGAAAGCGAAAGGAGCCCUCCUUCCCCAUUGGCCUCUCCAUCGCUGCAUCCCAAGAAGAAAGACAACUCGGGCUCCACUUGCUUGCUUUUUAAUAACAGAGCAGAGAGAAUACAAGGCCAGGAGCGGGGCCUGGAGGAAAACAGGACUUGGGGUGCUCCUGUGAGAGCGACGCUGCCAACUCCAUCCCCCAGGGAUUGUGAAGGGGGUUCCUUCUGGCUGUGACAGUGCUGAACGAGGCCAGAGAGUGCAGCUGCCUGGAGGCACAAGCCUCCUCCUGAUCCAGGGGGCUCCAGGGAGACCAAAGCAGCUGUCAAGAUGAGAGAAAUUGAAAAA
rnacentral:lncRNA from 1 species